AUCCUGAGGACGACCAGGACUCUACCAUCAAGGAUUCCUCACACACCUGAGCUGAACCUCACCUGAUCCUGUUUGGUCGGGGGCAGGCACACCUGAGCUGAACCCCACCUGAUCCGGACAUCCUGCUGGUCCCGUCUCCUCAGUUCAUCUGAGCCUCUUCCUCCAGAAGACCUGCUGAGCUCAUCAGUCUGAGGCUAAUGUACCAAUGACCUCCAGUGGGAGUGAUCUUCUUGACCCCACAUACCAGGACUCUGUCUGAGGAGAGCUGCUGGAGGAGCUGAGACGCUGGAGGGCGACUAGGAAUCGACCAACAAGGAUUCCUCAACAUGUUUCUGGAGCGGAGGCGAGCUGAUAGGGGAGCCGUGAAUCUGGAGGAUGACCAUCACUCUACCAACAAGGAUUACUUUAGGGCCAGACUCGCGCUGUUUGUUCCAGACCAGGACUCUGGCUGAGGAGAGCUGAUGGAGGAGCCAAGACUCUGGAGGACGACAUCACUCCACCAACCAGGAUCCUUACCAGGAAUCUGGAGGACUGAUGGAGAAGCCGUACAUCUCAAAGGCAAAUCCUGAGGACCACCAGGACUCUACCAUCAAGGAUUCCUCGUCAGGUUGCAUUAUCUGGACAUAGUGGACUAGACACACCUGAGCUGAACCUCACCUGAUCCUGUUUGGUCGGGGGCAGGCACACCUGAGCUAAACCCGCCCUGAUCCUGACAUCCUGCUGGUCCCGUCUCCUCAGUUCAUCUGAGCCUCGUCCUCCAGAAGACCUGCUGAGCUCAGCAGUCUGAGGCUGAUGGAUCAAUGACCUCCAGUGGGAGUGAUCUUCUUGACCCCACAUGUAACCGUGUGCUUCCACACGCCUUUCCUUCACGUCUGUCACUAACUUCACUACUCUCUACUGCUUCCUCUUUUCUUCCUUCUCUGUGGUUCGAACCUUUACAAUGAAGGCGCGUCUUCCUGCCCUCAGAGGGUUUAGCGUUAGGGUUGAGAGUCAGGGUUUAGAGUCAGGGACAGAGCUGGUCAGGGAGGACUGCUUUACACAAACCUCUUCACUUGCUUUCGGAACGGUGGUGCCAUUUUGAAAAGAUUCAUUUGGGAAAAUGUUUUCCUCUGCUUUCCUUUGCAAAAUUGUAUUAAGCUUCUGUCAAGUGUUUUUGUUUAUAUAUUAAAAUCCCACAUUGACUUCUACA